UCCUCCUCUGUCCAAUCCCCGCCGCCGCCACUCUCUUUAUUUUCAGCGCCGGACCAAUCUAGCCAGCCGAUAGCCUUCCCCCAACCUCGGGAUUCCUCCCGAUCCACCUCCACCCAACCAGAUCGCUGCAGCCAUCCACCUGCUCCAUCCAAUCCAUCGAUCCCUGCCUCCCCUGUUCCGUCCUUGCUGCAUCCGCAGCUCCCCUGCUCCCCUCGCGCUCGGGCACGCAGCCAGCCGAGUGCCCACCUCCAGAUCGAGCAGGAGGCUCGAUCUCGAGCUUCUCGAGACGCCGGAGCUUCGCCCGACUCCAUGGCCGACGGCCUCCUCAAGCCUUGCGCCACCGCACACCUCCCUGGACCGAUUCUGGUCGACCUGCGCCGCCUCCAUCCAUUCCGGUCGCCUCCAUCUUCCCGGAGCACCAAGGCCGAUGCCUCUCUGCUCGGCUCACCUCGUCGCUGCCUCCCCACGCCUAUCGACCAUCGGAUCCGCGCCGCUCCACCGCCUCGUCUCCACCUCCCUGCCGCCUCGGAUCCCGGUGACCCCCCGUUCGUCGUUGCCGCGCCGAGACCCGCUGCCGCCUCGCUGUUGACCUCAGCGCCGCGUUCUGUCUUUGUCGAGCAGAGGACGAAGGAGCGGUUCCUCGUCGUCGAAUUGACUGCAGGCCGGCCCAGCGCGCCUCCUCCCGUGCCAAACCGCAGCCCAGCCGGUCCACCUCACCACCGAGUGGGCCAAGGCCCACUGGGUGAGGCCACACCCCAGCGCCCCACCUUUUGUUUUUUUCUGUUGGGCUUGUCUCAGUUUUGGCCCAUAUAGUGUUUUUCCCUGUCUGCGAAUUUUAGCUAUUAUCCAGAGUUUGCCUGUUUUACAGAAAACCCCUUGUACUUCUUGCAUUUAAUAACUCUUGAUCUAUGCAUCAUAUGUUAAAACUCCAAAUAUGAAACUUGCUUAGAAUUU